rnacentral:rRNA from 1 species
AACGCGAAGAACCUUACCUGGGUUUGACAUGCACCAGAUAGGCGUAGAGAUACGUCCUCCCUUGUGGUUGGUGUACAGGUGGUGCAUGGCUGUCGUCAGCUCGUGUCGUGAGAUGUUGGGUUAAGUCCCGCAACGAGCGCAACCCUUGUCCUUAGUUGCCAGCAUUAAGUUGGGCACUCUAAGGAGACUGCCGGUGACAAACCGGAGGAAGGUGGGGAUGACGUCAAAUCAUCAUGCCCCUUAUGAGUUGGGCUACACACGUGCUACAAUGGACGGUACAAAGGGCAGCGAAGCCGCGAGGCGGAGCCAAUCCCAGAAAGCCGUUCUCAGUUCGGAUUGCAGGCUGCAACUCGCCUGCAUGAAGUCGGAAUCGCUAGUAAUCGCAGGUCAGCAUACUGCGGUGAAUACGUUCCCGGGUCUUGUACACACCG